UACGGAGGGGGCGAGCGUUGUCCGAAGUUACUGGGCGUAAAGGGCGCGUAGGCGGCCUUCUAAGUCGAACGUGAAAUCCCCGGGCUCAACCCGGGAACUGCGUCCGAUACUGGAAGGCUUGAAUCCGGGAGAGGGAUGCGGAAUUCCAGGUGUAGCGGUGAAAUGCGUAGAUAUCUGGAGGAACACCGGUGGCGAAGGCGGCAUCCUGGACCGGCAUUGACGCUGAGGCGCGAAAGCCAGGGGAGCAAACAGG
rnacentral:rRNA from 1 species